AAAUCAGUUUGAAAUUUUCUAAGUUAACCAGCAGCGUUUCUAUUUUCUUGUUGCAAUAGUGUCUCUAUUUCGUUGUUCUGUUUGCCUUUUGAAUUUGAAAGUCUAUUCUAUUCUGCUUUAUUAAUGUUUAACUAACGUUUUAAUAUUCAUAAAUGUUGACAAUUUGCCGCGCAUCGCAACAUUUGAAAGAGAUUUCUUCAUCAUUAUUGUAACACGGACAGUUCUUUUGAGAAAGAAUUGAAUGAAGCUCAUCUGAGGCAACUACUGAAAGUCUGUCGUAGGUUGUUCUUGAUGACAUACACAGUCGAGAUGAGAUGACAUUUGAAGAAAUGUUACAACCAGGUGUUCGCUGUACGCUACAUUUUUUUAAGACCAAGAUAUACAACCAAAAAUAGAUUGAUAACACACCAAGACGACUUUGGAGGACCAAAUGUUCCAUUUGAAACGCUGCAGGAUUUAGAAAGAUAAUGACGAUGUUCGAAUGCUUAUACAAUAUAGUACGUCGACUUGCAUGCCAGAAGAUACGGUACGUCUUCAUUUUCCCAUAGCCGACAUGAAAAUUUAACUGUCAAGCAGAAAAACCGAACAAAUUUAUCUGACAAGCCAAAAUUUCAAUCGACAAUUUACCAAUUCCGCCAAUCUAAAUCUAUCACACACCAACCUUUAUACUUUCGCUAUUUAAAUAUUGUGA